rnacentral:rRNA from 1 species
GAUGAACGCUGGCUACAGGCUUAACACAUGCAAGUCGAGGGGAAACGACGGGGAAGCUUGCUUCCCCGGGCGUCGACCGGCGCACGGGUGAGUAACGCGUAUCCAACCUGCCUCUGACUGAGGGAUAACCCGUCGAAAGUCGGCCUAAUACCUCAUGGUAUCGUCUGCGGGCAUCCAACGACGAUUAAAGAUUUCAUCGGUCAGGGAUGGGGAUGCGUCUGAUUAGCUUGUUGGCGGGGUAACGGCCCACCAAGGCUACGAUCAGUAGGGGUUCUGAGAGGAAGGUCCCCCACAUUGGAACUGAGACACGGUCCAAACUCCUACGGGAGGCAGCAGUGAGGAAUAUUGGUCAAUGGGCGAGAGCCUGAACCAGCCAAGUAGCGUGCAGGAAGACGGCCCUAUGGGUUGUAAACUGCUUUUAUGCGGGGAUAAAGUGAGGGACGUGUCCCUCAUUGCAGGUACCGCAUGAAUAAGGACCGGCUAAUUCCGUGCCAGCAGCCGCGGUAAUACGGAAGGUCCUGGCGUUACCCGGAUUUAUUGGGUUUAAAGGGAGCGUAGGCCGUGGAUUAAGCGUGUUGUGAAAUGCAGGUGCUCAACGUCUGCACUGCAGCGCGAACUGGUCCACUUGAGUGUGCGCAACGCAGGCGGAAUUCGUCGUGUAGCGGUGAAAUGCUUAGAUAUGACGAAGAACUCCGAUUGCGAAGGCAGCUUGCGGGAGCACAACUGACGCUGAAGCUCGAAAGUGCGGGGUAUCGAACAAG